GAUGAACGCUGGCGGCGUGCUUAACACAUGCAAGUCGAACGAAGCACUUUAAUUGAUUUCUUCGGAAUGAAGUUUUUGUGACUGAGUGGCAGACGGGUGAGUAACGCGUGGGUAACCUGCCUCAUACAGGGGGAUAACAGUUGGAAACGACUGCUAAUACCGCAUAAGCGCACAGGAUUGCAUGAUCCAGUGUGAAAAACUCCGGUGGUAUGAGAUGGACCCGCGUCUGAUUAGCCAGUUGGCGGGGUAACGGCCCACCAAAGCGACGAUCAGUAGGGGUUCUGAGAGGAAGGUCCCCCACGAUUGGAACUGAGACACGGUCCAAAACUCCUACGGGA
rnacentral:rRNA from 1 species